rnacentral:rRNA from 1 species
AUUGAACGCUGGCGGCAUGCUUUACACAUGCAAGUCGAACGGCAGCACGGACUUCGGUCUGGUGGCGAGUGGCGAACGGGUGAGUAAUACAUCGGAACGUGCCCAGUUGUGGGGGAUAACUACUCGAAAGAGUAGCUAAUACCGCAUGAGAACUGAGGUUGAAAGCAGGGGAUCGUAAGACCUUGCGCAACUGGAGCGGCCGAUGGCAGAUUAGGUAGUUGGUGGGAUAAAAGCUUACCAAGCCGACGAUCUGUAGCUGGUCUGAGAGGACGACCAGCAACACUGGGACUGAGACACGGCCCAGACUCCUACGGGAGGCAGCAUGGGGGAAUUUUGGACAAUGGGCGAAAGCCUGAUCCAGCAAUGCCGCGUGCAGGAUGAAGGCCUUCGGGUUGUAAACUGCUUUUGUACGGAACGAAAAGCUUCGGGCUAAUACCCUGGAGUCAUGACGGUACCGUAAGAAUAAGCACCGGCUAACUACGUGCCAGCCGCCGCCGUAAUAC